rnacentral:rRNA from 1 species
UGGGGAAUAUUGCACAAUGGGCGCAAGCCUGAUGCAGCCAUGCCGCGUGUGUGAAGAAGGCCUCGGGUUGUAAAGCACUUUCAGCGAGGAGGAAGGUGGUGAGCUUAAUACGCUCAUCAAUUGACGUUACUCGCAGAAGAAGCACCGGCUAACUCCGUGCCAGCAGCCGCGGUAAUACGGAGGGUGCAAGCGUUAAUCGGAAUUACUGGGCGUAAAGCGCACGCAGGCGGUUUGUUAAGUCAGAUGUGAAAUCCCCGGGCUCAACCUGGGAACUGCAUUUGAAACUGGCAAGCUAGAGUCUCGUAGAGGGGGGUAGAAUUCCAGGUGUAGCGGUGAAAUGCGUAGAGAUCUGGAGGAAUACCGGUGGCGAAGGCGGCCCCCCUGGACGAAGACUGACGCUCAGGUGCGAAAAGCGUGGGGCAGCAAACAGGAUUAGAUACCCUGGUAGUCCACGCUGUAAACGAUGUCGAUUUUGGAGGUUGUGCCCCUUGAGGCGUGG